UCUACCCCAUCUUCACGUGAACCAUUUUUUCUUGUUCAAGAUCGUAGAUGGCUUUAACCUUAAUCUGAGUUUCAUUUGGUUUUCGUAACCUUAAACUCUUACAAAUUACGAGUUUUGGUAGAAGGACCAAAAUAAACCAGUAUUAUAAACAAAAGUAAUCCUUGUCUAGCUAGCUGCUAAGAUACCAAUAUACUCAAAGGAAUGCUUGUGAUUAAGGACAGAAAAAAUCAUAAAACAAGACAUGCAAUGAUGUAAAACUAACAG
rnacentral:misc_RNA from 1 species